AGUGAACGCUGGCGGUAGGCCUAACACAUGCAAGUCGAACGGCAGCACAGUAAGAGCUUGCUCUUACGGGUGGCGAGUGGCGGACGGGUGAGGAAUACAUCGGAAUCUACUUUUUCGUGGGGGAUAACGUAGGGAAACUUACGCUAAUACCGCAUACGACCUACGGGUGAAAGCAGGGGAUCUUCGGACCUUGCGCGAUUGAAUGAGCGGAUGUCGGAUUAGCUAGUUGGCGGGGUAAAGGCCCACCAAGGCGACGAUCCGUAGCUGGUCUGAGAGGAUGAUCAGCCACACUGGAAGGGAGACACGGUCCAGACUCCUACGGGAGGCAGCAGUGGGGAAUAUUGGACAAUGGGCGCAAGCCUGAUCCAGCCAUACCGAGUGGGUGAAGAAGGCCUUCGGGUUGUAAAGCCCUUUUGUUGGGAAAGAAAAGCAGCAGGUUAAUACCCCGCUGUUCUGACGGUAACCAAAGAAUAAGCACCGGCUAACUUCGUG
rnacentral:rRNA from 1 species